rnacentral:rRNA from 1 species
GACGAACGCUGGCGGCGUGCUUAACACAUGCAAGUCGAACGGAAAGGCCCGGCUUUUGUGGGGUGCUCGAUUGGCGAACGGGUGAGUAACACGCGAGUAUCCCGCACCUGACUGUGGGAGAACUUCACGAAACUGGGGCUAAUAUCGCAUAGGAGCUCCUGCACCGUGGGGGGGGUUGGAAAGUGUCGGCGUUGGUGUAUGGACUCGCGGCGUAGUAGCUUGAUGGGCGGGUAGUGACUUACCAGGCCUUUGACGGGUAGCCGGCCUGAGAGGGUGACCGGCGGCCUGGGAGCUGGGACAGGGUCCAGACUCCUACGGGAGGCAGCAGUAGGGUAUCGGCCGCAAUGGGCGAGAGCUUGACGGAGCGACGCGGCGUGAGUGAUGAAGGUCUUCGGAGCGUAAAACUCUGUUAUUAGGGAAGAACAAAUUUGGAAGGAACUAUGCACGUCUUGACGGUACUUAAUCAGAAAGCAACGGCUAACUACGUG